CCUCUUGCAAAAUCAACGAAUAAGAGGUCCCGCCUGCCCUGUGACUAUAUGUUUAACGGCCGCGGUAUUUUGACCGUGCGAAGGUAGCGCAAUCACUUGUCUUUUAAAUGGAGACCUGUAUGAAUGGCAUCACGAGGGCUUAGCUGUCUCCUCUCCCCAGUCAAUGAAAUUGAUCUCCCCGUGCAGAAGCGGGAUAGCAACAUAAGACGAGAAGACCCUAUGGAGCUUUAGACGUAAGAGCAGCUCAUGUAAAGCACCCCUGAACAAAGGAAAAAACCAAAUGAAACCUGCCCUAAUGUCUUUGGUUGGGGCGACCGCGGGGAAAUACAAAACCCCCAUGAGGAGUAGGAACACAUAUUCCUAAAUCCAAGAGCUCCCGCUCUAAUGAACAGAAAUUCUGACCAACAAGAUCCGGCACACGCCGAUCAACGGACCGAGUUACCCUAGGGAUAACAGCGCAAUCCCCUUAAAGAGCCCUUAUCGACAAGGGGGUUUACGACCUCGAUGUUGGAUCAGGACAUCCUAAUGGUGCAGCCGCUAUUAAGGGUUCGUUUGUUCAACGAUUAAAGUCCU
rnacentral:rRNA from 1 species